UACGUAGGGUGCAAGCGUUAAUCGGAAUUACUGGGCGUAAAGCGUGCGCAGGCGGCUUUGCAAGACAGAUGUGAAAUUCCCGGGCUUAACCUGGGAACUGCAUUUGUGACUGCAUGGCUGGAGUGUGGCAGAGGGGGAUGGAAUUCCGCGUGUAGCAGUGAAAUGCGUAGAUAUGCGGAGGAACACCGAUGGCGAAGGCAAUCCCCUGGGCCUGCACUGACGCUCAUGCACGAAAGCGUGGGGAGCAAACAGG
rnacentral:rRNA from 1 species